rnacentral:rRNA from 1 species
GACGAACGCUGGCGGCGUGCCUAAUACAUGCAAGUAGGACGCAGUUGCGAACGGGUGAGUAAGGCGUAGGUAACUACCUAUUAGAGGGGGCUAACUACUGGAAACGAUAGCUAAUACCGCAUACUAGUAGAUGGACCUGCGUUGUAUUAGCUAGUAGGUAGGGUAAUGGCCUACCUAGGCCACGAUACAUAGCCGACCUGGGAGGGUGAUCGGGCAAACUGGGAAUGGGACAAGGCCCAGACUCCUACGGGAGGCAGCAGUAGGGAAUCUUUGGAAAUGGGGGGAAACCUGACCGAGCAACGGCGCGUGAGUGAAGAAGGUUUUCGGAGCGGAAAGCUCCGUUGUUAAGGAAGCGGUACUUAACCAGAAAGGGACGGCUAACUACGUGCCAGCCGCCGCGGUAAUUC